CGCGGGAGCGCGGGGCGGUAUUUAAUGGCCGGCGAGAGGCGGCUCUGCCUUUCUGUCCGCCGGCCGAGGGCGCGUGUGUCCCGAGGUACCGGCGAGCCCUUCAAAUGCUGCCGAUGGGCAGGAGGCCGAGCGCGGCGGGCCUGGGCAGGGGGAAGCGCUGGCGAUCUGAGCUCAGGCCUUUGGACGCCUAUGGGUGAGGGGCACACCGAGCUCAUCGCUCCUCUUACAGCCUGAGGCUGAGGCCUCACAUAGCAACCUCAUGCUUGAAAUGUCUUAGAUGUGGAUAAUCACACCUAAAUGUGAAGCAAUACUCAGGACUUCUUAGGAAUAAAUAAUGCCUUGUAAUGGAAGGAAUGAAGACAACGUGUGCCAGGAACUGACAUUAAACAUCAGCUUAUGAUUUCCUGACUGGGUGAUUUCUGACUUCAUACAAGAUGAUUCCAGUUGUCAUCUCUAAGUAUCGUCUUGGAAGUAGAAUUUGAGACAAGUGAUGGCUUAAAUUAUGUCUUCAGUGAUCAUGUUGAAAUGGGUUUCCUAACAAAAACUGCUGUAAUUUGACUGUGUUUGUGGAUUAUUGAAAUAAAUUGAGUACUAAUUAAAAGUAUGCUACUAAAA